UACGUAGGCGGCGUUGUAAGUCAGAGGUGAAAUCCCACAGCUCAACUGUGGAAUUGCCUUUGAUACUGUAAUGCUUGAAUCAGGUUGAGGUCGGCGGAAUGUGGCAUGUAGCGGUGAAAUGCUUAGAUAUGCCAUAGAACACCAAUUGCGAAGGCAGCUGGCUAGACCUGUAUUGACGCUGAGGCACGGAAGCGUGGGGAGCGAACAGGAUUAGAUACCCUGGUAGUCC
rnacentral:rRNA from 1 species